AGCAGCCGCGGUAAUUCCAGCUCCAAUAGCGUAUAUUAAAGUUGUUGCAGUUAAAAAGCUCGUAGUUGAAUUUCGGGAUCAAUUUAUUGGUCGUGCUAUUGUACGUACUGGUAUUAUUGAUUCCUACCUUCUGACGAACCAUGAUGUCAUUAAUUUGGUGUCUUGGGGAAUCAGGACUGUUACUUUGAAAAAAUUAGAGUGUUUAAAGCAGGCUCACGCUUGAAUACAUUAGCAUGGAAUAACGAAAUAGGACGUUUGAUUCUAUUUUGUUGGUUUCUAGGAUCGACGUAAUGAUUAAUAGGGAUAGUUGGGGGCAUUAGUAUUCAAUUGUCAGAGGUGAAAUUCUUGGAUUUAUUGAAGACUAACUACUGCGAAAGCAUUUGCCAAGGAUGUUUUCAUUAAUCAAGAACGAAAGUUAGGGGAUCGAAGACGAUCAGAUACCGUCGUAGU
rnacentral:rRNA from 1 species